rnacentral:rRNA from 1 species
UGGGGAAUUUUGGACAAUGGGCGCAAGCCUGAUCCAGCAAUGCCGCGUGCAGGAUGAAGGCCUUCGGGUUGUAAACUGCUUUUGUACGGAACGAAACGGCGAGCUCUAAUACAGUUUGCUAAUGACGGUACCGUAAGAAUAAGCACCGGCUAACUACGUGCCAGCAGCCGCGGUAAUACGUAGGGGGCAAGCGUUAAUCGGAAUUACUGGGCGUAAAGCGUGCGCAGGCGGUUAUGUAAGACAGAUGUGAAAUCCCCGGGCUUAACCUGGGAACUGCAUUUGUGACUGCAUAGCUAGAGUACGGUAGAGGGGGAUGGAAUUCCGCGUGUAGCAGUGAAAUGCGUAGAUAUGCGGAGGAACACCGAUGGCGAAGGCAAUCCCCUGGACCUGUACUGACGCUCAUGCACGAAAGCGUGGGGAGCAAACA